UACAGAGGGUGCAAGCGUUGUUCGGAAUUACUGGGCGUAAAGCGUGCGCAGGCGGUGAUGUAAGACAGAUGUGAAAUCCCCGGGCUCAACCUGGGAACUGCAUUUGUGACUGCAUCGCUGGAGUGCGGCAGAGGGGGAUGGAAUUCCGCGUGUAGCAGUGAAAUGCGUAGAUAUGCGGAGGAACACCGAUGGCGAAGGCAAUCCCCUGGGCCUGCACUGACGCUCAUGCACGAAAGCGUGGGGAGCAAACAGG
rnacentral:rRNA from 1 species